UUAUCUACUAUGAUCAUGUAAGUAGUCAUAUGGAAAAAGACUGUCCAGAGAGCUGAUGGUAGCUGCGAAUCAGCCAGUCCCAUUGAUGAAGUACACUUGGGAGUAUUGAACGGUUGUUCACGGUUUGUCACCGUUAUCGAAUGAGAGGAAAUAGUUUGCUGCUAUUUUCAAAAAGGGUGGUACCGCGGAACACUUCGUCCCUUUA
rnacentral:ncRNA from 1 species